UACGAAGGGGGCUAGCGUUGCUCGGAAUCACUGGGCGUAAAGCGCACGUAGGCGGCUUUCUAAGUCAGGGGUGAAAUCCUGGAGCUCAACUCCAGAACUGCCUUUGAUACUGGGGAGCUCGAGUCCGGAAGAGGUGAGUGGAACUCCGAGUGUAGAGGUGAAAUUCGUAGAUAUUCGGAAGAACACCAGUGGCGAAGGCGGCUCACUGGGACGGUACUGACGCUGAGGAGCGAAAGCGUGGGGAGCGAACAGG
rnacentral:rRNA from 1 species